GGACAUUCCUUUCUGGGAUUAUGCAAGCUGCAAAGCUAUCUGCUAAAUUGACUCGACAAGGUUUUUCUUGGCGCCAUGCAUAUAAUCUAACCAUGGAAACUCCCAGCCGAUUUCUUGUUUCAACUUCGGCUACGCAUCUAAGCGUCAACUCCAUCAGAAGGCUUGGCAUACAACGAGAAGUUGAUAAUUGCAGUCAACAAGAUGGAAGAGAUGCAGUCCUUUCGAGAGAAAAUAAGAGGGGAUUGUCCCAGUAUUUAUGCCGUAUUCCACAAUUUGUGAAAA
rnacentral:misc_RNA from 1 species